GAUGAACGCUGGCGGCGUGCCUAACACAUGCAAGUCGAGCGAGUCUCUUCGGAGAAGAGCGGCGGACGGGUGAGUAACGCGUGGGUAACCUGCCCUGUACACACGGAUAACAUACCGAAAGGUAUGCUAAUACGAGAUAAUAUGCUUUUAUCGCAUGGUAGAAGUAUCAAAGCUCCGGCGGGACAGGAUGGACCCGCGUCUGAUUAGCUAGUUGGUAAGGUAACGGCUUACCAAGGCGACGAUCAGUAGCCGACCUGAGAGGGUGAUCGGCCACAUUGGAAUUGAGACACGGUCCAAACUCCUACGGGAGGCAGCAGUGGGGAAUAUUGCACAAUGGGCGAAAGCCUGAUGCAGCAACGCCGCGUGAGCGAUGAAGGCCUUCGGGUCGUAAAGCUCUGUCCUCAAGGAAGAUAAUGACGGUACUUGAGGAGGAAGCCCCGGCUAACUACGUGCCAGCCGCCGCAGUAACAC
rnacentral:rRNA from 1 species